rnacentral:rRNA from 1 species
UACAGAGGGGGGCAAGCGUUGUUCGGAAUUACUGGGCGUAAAGGGCGCGUAGGCGCCUUCUAAGUCGAACGUGAAAUCCCCGGGCUCAACCCGGGAACUGCGUCCGAUACUGGAAGGCUUGAAUCCGGGAGAGGGAUGCGGAAUUCCAGGUGUAGCGGUGAAAUGCGUAGAUAUCUGGAGGAACACCGGUGGCGAAGGCGGCAUCCUGGACCGGUAUUGACGCUGAGGCGCGAAAGCGUGGGGGAGCAAACAGG